GUCUGUGUUUCUUCUUUUACAUACUAUAAAUGACAACAUUUGAUGAAAGGAAGUACAUUUCCUGAUCCCAUUCCACCAUCAGUGGGAUCACCAACAUCACUUUUAUGAAACUGAAGUGAAACAUAUCAAGUCAAUAUGUUGUCCUUAAAUAAUAGAUACUCAAAGAAGGGGGAAAUAGUUUGUUUACUAAUUUGUUGUGUGUCUUUGUAGGUGCAGAAGGUAGUCGACACUAGGGCAGUUUUUAAAGACGUGAUUGCAGGAAAGCUAUGCAACUUUUCAGUCCGAGCCGAGAAGGAGUUUUUCAGAGACAGUCUGGCUGUUAUUAUCACCAUAAGAGCUGGUACACAUACUUUCACAUAAGCUCAACUACUUAUGCUACCAUUCAGUAGUUUGGGAUCAGUGAGAUUGUUAUGUUUUUUUUGUUUUUUCUUUUUUUUAUAAAAAUAAUACUAUUAUUUACAGAGGAUCUAUUAAAUUGAUCUAAAUUGUUAUUUUUAUUUAAUUUUUUUUAUAAAAAUAAUACUAUUAUUUACAGAGGAUCUAUUAAAUUGAUCUAAAUUGAAAUUAAUAAAAUUAAUUCAUUAAAUUGAAUUGAAAAUGUAAAUAAUUCUCCUUCAAAUCAAUUCUGUUCUUUUGAACUUUCUGUUCUUAAACUUUGCGUUUAAUUGGCUUGAGUGUUUUUGUAGCUCCCAGUCCGGUCACCUUGCUGCCAGUGCAGAGGACAUCAGCGUCUCUCAGCGUGCGCUGGAGGGCCGGCCGGGGGGUCUGUGACUCAUUCAUCCUGUCCAUCAGAAACUCAACCUUUAUCCUGCAGACCAGUCAGAGUGUGUCUGAUGACAGAACAUAUGGCUUUGACGACCUGUUGCCUGGAAGUGUGUAUACUGUUGAAGUGAGCAGUGUUAGCGGAGACAGGCAAAGUUUACCUGCUGCUGUAGAUGUUAACACACUUCCAGAACCUCCUGACGACCUCACUUUUAUUGAACAGGAAGUGAGCAGCAUGUAUGUGAUGUGGACACACCCACCGGGCAACGUGGAUGGUUACAGGGUAGGGUGACUUUUCGUUUAUCCAAUCAGCAUCGAGAUCCACAUACUGUAGGGAUUUGGUCAUCGCAUAUGAUAGUGUAUUUUAAAAUUCGAUUUUUGCUUGUUUGUUUACUUGAUUUAGCAAAUGAAUAGAAAUUGAUUGAAGCGGUUAUGUGGAAUGAGUUAUAGGAAUACUUUGUGUGUAUUGUAAGCAUGACUAGACUAGUAUCAGGGCCUUUGGACACCUGUUAAAACUUUCAUACUGACCGUCUCAGCUGAAAUGUAGCCUAGCAACACCCCCAUGUGCUCGGGUUUCUGCCUCUCUCAUAAUACAUGAGCACCAAUCCUUCAUUAUACCUUACAAACAGAAGGAAGGUAUUUGAGUGUUUGAUGUAAAGAUGCUUUUUGUGCAAUGCAAAGUCCCUCGGAAUAACCUGGGCUAAAGUGACUUUUCAAAGGGCAAUGGUAAUGAUCUUCCCACUUCCAAAAAUAUACAGUAGUAAAAACUGAAAUAUUAUUACAAUUUAAAAUAACUAUUUCCUAUUUGAAUAUAUUUUAAAUAUAAUUUAUUUCUGUGAUGCAAAGCUGAAUUUCCAGCAUCAUUACUCCAGUCUUCAGUGUCACAUGAUCCUUCAGAAAUCAUUCUAAUAUGCUGAUUUGCUGCUCAAGAACCAUUUCUUAUUAUUAUCAGUGUUUAAAACAGUCAAAACAUAACUUCUAGUCAAUUAAAAUGCAUUCUUGCUUAUUUUAUUUCUGUUGCUUUCUUCUUAUUCAAUCCUCUUUAGCUUCAAUAUGGCUUUGCGGGUGACCUCCCUCUGCAGCACCGGGUUGAUCUUCAUGGCAACAGUGUCAGGAUUCAUGACCUGACCCCAGGAAGUGAUUACAGGUUUGAGAUCCAGUCCUUCCUGGGGUCAGAUUUCAGCCACACCACAUCCCAAAACAUCUCUACUAGUAAGAAUCUACCAGUCAAUAUUUCUGAUUCUGUUCUUAGUGAUGCUUUCU
ensembl:lncRNA